rnacentral:lncRNA from 1 species
UCAGAUUUAACACCAAAGGAAAAAUUAAUCAUAUACACCAGUCUAACACUGGAGAUGUAGCUGCAGCCAUUGCCUGCACGGUUGAAGGCCAUCCAGCUGCCCAGCCAACAUCACCAAAGAAACAAGCAUUUCAUUGGGUCGUAAACAAAUGUGGUGAGCCGGGUGCAAGAAAUAGAUGUAUAUAUAUAUAUAUAUAUGAAUGUGUGUGUGUGUACAUGCACACAUAUGGAAAGAAAAAGAAAGAAAGAAAGAAAGAGAAUGGCAUUGCAUGAGAAUAGCAUAUCUUCUCACAAAAUUGCAGUGAUGCGGUGUUUAUCAUCAUCGCCUCCAAGAAGGAAAAGAAAGAAAAAAAAUUUGUAAGAAAGCAUAUUUUGUAUAUAAUGUAACAAAAUGUUAACGGGGGAGCUGGCAAAAAGAGAAAAAUGGAACCACAAGAUACUAAAUUAAUACACUUUAAACCACAUAGUACCAAAGUGAGAAAGUGUGAAACCACAGGGAUGGUAUUUGAAGUUUACCCAAAUGAGUAACACAUGACAGAAAGAGAAUUUAUAUAGAUGUAUAUAUUUAUAGUGGGGCUAAAAUACUAUUGAUAGUAGCAAAGUGGUGGCUGCGACCAACUUUUGACCCUUGGAUCAAUAGGGUCUAGGGUCCAGAGUUUAGGGUUUAGUGGUUGCUACUAUUGAUAGUAGCUCAACUUUAAACCACAUAGUACCAAAGUGAGAAAGUGCGAAACCACAGGGAUGGUAUUUGAAGUUUACCCAAAAGAGUAACACAUAACAGAAAGAAAAUUUGUAUAGAUGUAUAUAUUUAUAGUGGGGCGAAAAUACUAUUGAUAGUAGCAAAGUGGUGGCAGCGACCAACUUUUUGACCCUUGGAUCAAUAGGGUCUAGGGUCCAGAGUUUAGGGUUCAGUGGUUGCUACUAUUGAUAGUAGCUCAACUAUACAUGCACAUAUAUAUAUAUAUAUAUAUAUAUAUAUAGUCGAUCUUGGCUGCUUUCAAAAGUGGAGCAUGCACUAUUCAUGUGCUUCAACUCUAGCCCCAAUAAUAUAUAUAUAUAUAUAUAUAUAUAUAUAUAUAUAUAUAUAUAGUAGGCUACUAUACUAUUAAUAGCACCAACUCAUUGGUGCUAUUAGGUUUUCGGCCCUUGAAUGAAGGGAUGUGCAGUUAGGAUGACAAUGUCCCCUAGGGUUGAGAGGGUGGUUGGUUGAAUAGUAUGAUCUAACAGAUGGGGUAGAUCUAACGGCCAAAAACUUAGUAGCACCAAGCGCUUGGUGCUAUUGAUAGCAUAGUAGCCGGACUCUCUCUCUCUCUCUCUCUCUCUCUCUCUCUCUCUCUCUCUCUACAUAUAUAUAUAGCAAAAUCAAAUCUAUACAUAUGUACCACUGAAAAAUAUUUAACUUCACAUAUACAUUUAGUGCCCUGGGUCCACAAAACGUGAAAUUAGAAAUAUGAAUCAGUAACUUCCCUUUCACCAAUUUAUUUAUUUAUCUACUUAUUUUUUGAGUUACGCAAUCAGAUACAAAUAUAUAAUAAAUAGAAGAGCGAUGCUACCUCUAGAACCACCUUUUGGUUGUAAUAAAACCCUUCGAUCACACUGAGAGACACUUCCGAAAAUGAAGAUGAAUGUUCGCAUAUAUAUAUAUAUAUAUAUAUAUAUAUAUAUAUAUAUAUAUAUAUAUAUAUAUAUAUAUCCCUGCAGAGUGCGGAACUGCACAAAUACCCUUGCAGACUUCUCGUAACAAGCUGCUAAAUACAGCAGUCGCUCAGGUUUGGAUCAAGGGAAUUGGAAAGAAAACAAGAAGAGAAGAACCGCUUAAAGUAACCAAAAAAAAAUCAAAGCAAAAGGAAACAAAUACAAACCAACAAUCAAAUAGAAGUGAGAAAAAAAAAAAGAAGAUAAAGCUAAGCUUCAAAGAAGUACCUUGGUUUCAUUGGAAAAGGGAAAGCAAAGAAGAACAAAAGGGAGGGUCAGAUUCGCAGCAAUAUCGCUCUAACAGCGACGAAAGACAAGCCUUACACUGCAGAAAACAAGGGCAGUAUUUUGGCAACAAGUAGCAAUACUCUUUUGGCAAAACACCUUCCCAGCUGCACACUUAUGGCAUGCGUCACAGUCUGACAGGUUUGGUCUACAGACGAUACGGUGUAUCAAGUUCAAGAAUAGAGAAGACAUGUAAUGGGACAGGCAAACAGCAACUGAAGGACUUUCCGCAGAAAGUCACAAUCAUGUGGAAUUCAUUGCCAUCACCUUGCACAAAAUACCAGUCCAGGCAGUAUGAGAGGGAGAGAGAGAGAUAUUAUUUGCAGGGAGCUGUAUGAAAUUAACCCAUAUAUAUAUAUAUAUAUAUAUAUAGAGAGAGAGAGAGAGAGAGAGAGAGAGAGAGAGAGAGAGAGAGAGAGAGAGUCAUCAGCCUAAAAGAGUAGCAGAAAUGCCGGUCUACUUCCUCUCUGGCCAAAAACCAGGUAGAAUUUGUUCUAGAAUAAGGCAAUUUAGGUAAAAAUGCAUGGAGACCCCCUUUACCGGGGCUGCAAUUCACCUAUCCUCAAGCCCCAGGGGUGGAGAAAUUCUGAAAAAGCCCCUCAACUAUGGCCAUGUCGCAAAGUCUUUUUUUUCAACUUGCCAAAAAUGGCCAAAAGGGUAACAGCAGCAACAAUAACGAUACGGACAUGUUCCCUGCCUUUAGUUUUUGAAAAAACUUCUGCUCUCUUCUGCAUGUAAAGAAUCCAUAAAAUUACAAAGGUAAGUAAAAAUAGAAAAUUCUAUUUCUAAAGUUUAAGAAAGGCCAAUUUGCAUAAAAAAUCCACCAGUUUUGAGAUUUUGCAAGUUCGGUCCCUCUUUUGAGAGAGAGAGAGAGAGAGAGUCAUCAGCCUACACGAGUUGCAGAAAUUGCAAACUACUUCCUCUCUGGCCAACAACCAGGCAACAUUUGGUUAGAGGACAAAGCAAUUCAGGCGAAAAUGUACAGAGAGCCGCUAAAGUGGCAAUGCAAUUUCCCUGCCCUGCAGCCCCAGGCAUGGAGGAAUCCUGGGAAAAAGCCCCUCAACUAAAGUCAUGUUAAAAGAAGACCUUUGUUUUUCUUUUCCUGCAGAAAAUGGCCAAAGGGAACACAUUUGCUCUCUUUUUUUCUCUUUUGUCCUCUUCUUCUUCUUCUUUCUAAGAGAAAUCCAGUAGGCACCUUGAAUUUUUUUUUUUUUUUUUUUUGCGGAUUAACUUUUGCUCAGUUUCAGUGGUAAAGAACCAGUGAAUGCAACAAGAGAGAGCAAAAAGUGCAAAAGAUUGACGGAGGCUCAGAUUUAACACCAAAGGAAAAAUUAAUCAUAUACACCAGUCUAACACUGGAGAUGUAGCUGCAGCCAUUGCCUGCAAGUUGAAGGCCAUCCAGCUGCCCAGCCAACAUCGCCAAAGAAUCAAGCAUUUCAUUGGGUAGUAAACAAAUGUGGUGAACCAGGUCCAAGAAAUAGAUGUGUAUAUAUAUAUAUAUAUAUAUGAACGUGUGUGCGUACAUGCACACAUAUGGAAAGAGAAAAAUAAUGGCAUUGCAUGAGAAUAGCACAUCUUCUCACAAAAUUGCAGUGAUGCGGUGUUUAUCAUCAUCGCCUCCAAGAAGGAAAAGAAGGGAAAAAAUAUUUUGAAGAAAGCAUAUUUUGUAUAUAAUUUAACGAAAUGUUAACGGAGGAGCAGGCGAAAAGAGAAAAAUGAAACCACAGGAUACUAACUUAAUACACUUUAAUCCACAGGGUUACUAAAGUGAGAAAGUGCGAAACCAUAGGGGUGGUAUUUGAAGUUUACCCAAAAGAGUAACACAUAAGAGAAAGAGAAUUCAUAUAGAUGUAUAAAUUUAUUGUGGGGCUAAAAUACUAUUGAUAGUAGCAAAGUGGCGGCCGCGACCAAGUUUUUGACCCAUGGAUCAAUAGGGUCUAGGGUCCAGAGUUUAGGUUUAGUGGUUGCUACUAUUGAUUGUAGCUCAACUUUACAUUCGCAUAUAUAUAUAUAUAUAGUCGAUCACACUGAAGGACUUUCCGCAGAAAGUCACAAUCAUGUAGCAUUCAUCACCAUCACCUUGCACAAAAUACCAGUCCGGGCAAUAUGAUAUAUAUAUAUAUAUAU